GACCUCACCAGUCACCACACAAAAGCAAAGCAGCCAUGGUAGUGGGGAGCAAGGGAGAGGAGGAAGAGGGAGGGGUACCUGCAGUUUAGAACAAAUACCAAGGAGGCUUCUGCUGGGUCGCCAUGCGCUAUGAGGCAGAGAACGGGAUGCAGCCAAGGAUGACUUGCCGGCUCCUGGAAUUCAGCAUUUCUGCUUUGCUGAGGCUUAAAGAGUUAGCCGGCAAGUCUGUCCUUGGCUACACCUAGUUCUCUUCCUCUCGUGUGUGGCCCCCAAGCACUGUCAAGAGCUCCAAGAUUUGCAUUCGUGUCAGUUCGACUAAGGAAAAAUAGCUACUUGCGUGGCCUCAUGAUGCAAACGAAAGGCCAAGGAAAGUACACCAAGCACUACAAGACAAGGCUCCUCCAGGUUCCUGCUCAGCAACAGCAAAUGUACUUAAAUUGUCAUGACAUUAGUAUACAAAAGAAAACAUGUAGCAUGCACUACGGGAGAAGCAGAAAGGAUAAACAAUGAUGCAGUUGAUGUACCAUGUUGAGAUAGUGCCGCACCUUUAUUCAAAAUAAAAAAAAUGAACAGAUUGGUUACCACUUUCCUCAAGUAAUCAGUAAUUGUGGUCCUGCUUCACGUCAAAAGGAGUCUAUCUUAUCAUUACGAGCAGUUUGGAUGGCUAAAGCCGAAAGGAAAUCUAACACAUCAUCACAGUAGUGUCCCACUGGCAGACUUAGCAUCAUUAGAUCAUGAUGAUACCUUAUUUCUAUAAGGACAAUGGGGAGCAAGGUGCCAAGGCUUUUAUCUUAAAUUCAAUGAAGUUCAAGAUUACCACGGUAUUGGUUUAAAGUCACCGGCAAUGUAAACCUGAGACAUGUAUCAGACCUGUCAAUGUAAACAAGUUUCAGUUUAAGGACCCUUCGUUACCCCAAAGCUGACUCAGAUUCAAGACAUAUGCUCCAUGUCAGCAUUGGCAUCCACAGCUAUAAUUAUGGCCACAAGCCCACAAGCCUCCAUUUGUGGCCUGAUGAACCAAAAAGUACUGUACGAACACAUGAUAGAUUUAUGUAUAUGCAGUUUUUCUUGGGACAUUAGACAAGAAUUGUAACAGGCAACUAAAGAAUUGUUUAUAUACAUGCAUUAUCAUGAA